AGUUUAAUUGGACUCAUAUGUUCAUUCGCAAUUUCCCGCUAGUUGUUUUCUUCAGAAUUCAGGUGCGAGGAUACAAGUGAGUUGGCUUCCAUUCGGACGUCUACGAUGAGACGAUGGACAGGGUGAAAGGCCUCGGCGUUGAUACCGAGUGCACUGGUGGUGGUAGAAUACCGCACGACCCCAGUGCCAACGUCAUCAAAGCGUACAGCUACUCACAGGUUGUAAUAUUUGACAUUGCAGCUUUUGAAAAUGGAGCAGGAUGUUGUGCCCUCUCUCCUAU
rnacentral:lncRNA from 1 species